rnacentral:rRNA from 1 species
UACGUAGGUGGCGAGCGUUAUCCGGAAUUAUUGGGCGUAAAGAGCGCGCAGGUGGUUGAUUAAGUCUGAUGUGAAAGCCCACGGCUUAACCGUGGAGGGUCAUUGGAAACUGGCCGACUUGAGUGCAGAAGAGGGAAGUGGAAUUCCAUGUGUAGCGGUGAAAUGUGUAGAGAUAUGGAGGAACACCAGUGGCGAAGGCGGCUUCCUGGUCUGUAACUGACACUGAGGCGCGAAAGCGUGGGGAGCAAACAGGAUUAGAUA